UACGAAGGGGGCUAGCGUUGCUCGGAAUCACUGGGCGUAAAGCGCACGUAGGCGGCUUUUUAAGUCAGGGGUGAAAUCCUGGAGCUCAACUCCAGAACUGCCUUUGAUACUGAGAAGCUUGAGUUCGGGAGAGGUGAGUGGAACUGCGAGUGUAGAGGUGAAAUUCGUAGAUAUUCGCAAGAACACCAGUGGCGAAGGCGGCUCACUGGCCCGAUACUGACGCUGAGGUGCGAAAGCGUGGGGAGCAAAUGGG
rnacentral:rRNA from 1 species